rnacentral:lncRNA from 10 species
GCGUUCCUCCCCAAGAAUGCUUUCAGCUGCAAGGAAAAGAAAAACAAUUAAAACAAGAUUGGAUUUUGACUCGAAGGACUGCACUUCAAAACACUUUACUUCGGGCUAAUGUGCAAGACAUUUCACGAGCUGCCCUUUGCCACACUCCGGGGUCAUGGCUUUGACAACUCCAUCAGCACUCUACUAUUUAGUCUGCAAUUUCCUUAGGAUUCUCUACUUCACGUCACUUCAGUGUAUCUGCCUAUAAAGUUUCCUCUGCCUGAAAUGCCCUUUCCUACCUGGUCUAUCUUUGGGACUUAUCCUGAGAUUUACUCCUCUGGUCAUAGCUUACCAGAUACCCCAAAACAGAAUUAGACACCCUUUUUUCUGAGUUCCUCCAACCAUGUUUCAUUAAAGCUUGAUUUGUUUGGUUUGACUUUUUAGCUUGAUUGUUUCCGAAUGUGGAUGGUGAAAUUUUUGGAGACAAAACUGUUUUUUACUCUUCUAGAAAAUUAUUUCCAUUGUCUUUUACAGUCCCUUGAACAUAAAAACUACUCA